rnacentral:tRNA from 1 species
UCAAAGAGGAGGCCUACGCCCCACCAUCAGAACCCAAAGGUGAAAUUCUACUUAAACUACCCUC